rnacentral:rRNA from 1 species
GACGAACGCUGGCGGCGUGCUUAACACAUGCAAGUCGAACGGAAAGGCCCUGCUUUUGUGAGGUGCUCGAGUGGCGAACGGGUGAGUAACACAUGAGUAACCUGCCCUUGACUUUGGGAUAACUUCAGGAAACUGGGGCUAAUACCGGAUAGGAGCUCCUGCUGCAUGGUGGGGGUUGGAAAGUUUCGGCGGUUGGGGAUGGACUCGCGGCUUAUCAGCUUGUUGGUGGGGUAGUGGCUUACCAAGGCUUUGACGGGUAGCCGGCCUGAGAGGGUGACCGGCCACAUUGGGACUGAGAUACGGCGCAGACUCCUACGGGAGGCAGCAGUGGGGAAUAUUGCACAAUGGGCGGAAGUCUGAUGCAGCAACGCCGCGUGCGGGAUGACGGCUUUCGGGUUGUAAACCGCUUUCGCCUGUGACGAAGCGUGCGUGACGGUAAUGGGUAAAGAAGCACCGGCUAACUACGUG